ensembl:scaRNA
UAAACCGGACCCGGAAGAGGUUUGUCCUCAGUGUAAAUGCUGGUGUGUGGCGAUGUUUGUGUGUGUGAUUGUAUGAGACUGUUUGGGUGAGUGAAUGUGGGGUGUUAGCGUGCGUGUGUGUCUUUCUAAAAACCUACACAGUGAUCUUAUUUGAUCUGAUCAGAGUUUAGCUCCGCUCUGAGCAGAGAUGAUAGGAAAAACCGCUCUCGAGCCUCCGCGGCAAUGAGCAGCCGGCGAGAUUGAACCUUUCGGGGCCUCCACGCUUCGUGCUGUGGUCAGAGGUGAUGAUUCGAUCAGAUAUACUAGUUCUGGGUGAGUUUGGGUUCAUCUCAAACUUCACUGUGGACGAUGAGUAGAGAGGCGAUUCUGAUCUUA